rnacentral:rRNA from 1 species
UAGGGAAUCUUCCACAAUGGGCGAAAGCCUGAUGGAGCAACGCCGCGUGGGUGAAGAAGGUCUUCGGAUCGUAAAACCCUGUUGUUAGAGAAGAAAGUGCGUGAGAGUAACUGUUCACGUUUCGACGGUAUCUAACCAGAAAGCCACGGCUAACUACGUGCCAGCAGCCGCGGUAAUACGUAGGUGGCAAGCGUUAUCCGGAUUUAUUGGGCGUAAAGAGAACGCAGGCGGUCUUUUAAGUCUGAUGUGAAAGCCUUCGGCUUAACCGGAGUAGUGCAUUGGA